GGCUUUAUAGUCACUAAUGAUAUUAGACUGCAAUUCUAAAGGAGUAAAUAAUAAUUACUAAGGCUU
rnacentral:tRNA from 1 species